rnacentral:lncRNA from 1 species
CGGAAGGGCUGGUAGACAGACUCACAUACCCAGCGCUGAUAAGAAGUUCUGUGCAAAUCUCUUUCAUGCUUUGCUUUUCCUCUGAUAAAUGUUUAAGAAGAGAUUUGUCUUACCAUAACGACUGUGGUGUGAGAAAGUGAAAAGAGCAGGGAUUUUAUAUUCCUGAAUUAGAGAUUUACAAAUUUUCUUUUACUUUUUAUUUGUUAAAUGGGGUGUGCUACCAGCAUCAGCUACCAUCUCCCAUGCCCUUACAUCCUUACACUGCUGUGGUUCCAAGCCACUCAUGUGUACAAGUUUGAAGGAGCAGGGCAGGUACCUCUGUGGUGUUCCAGUGUCUGUUUUUCUCUGGAUGGAAACAGGACAGCCCAGGCCCCACCCUGCCGGUGGAAAGUUCAUGGAAACCAUCAAUCAGCACCAGUUGCCUUUAGCAACCAACAACAAAUCUGCCCCCUUUGGCCACGGAGAUCGAGAGUGCGUGGUUAUUACUGCAUCGAUGUUCAGCUGAGGAGUCCUGGCAUUGAGAAGACUCCACCUGUAAGAACUUCCAGAGAGCACGCACAAGAAAGAACUGUUCCAGCAGAUGAAAUUACAGGACCAGGUACUGCAACUCCAACACUGUCUGCAAUUUCAAAGGCAAGUGUUUACAGGCAAGGAACAACAGCCUUACAGCCCAGCCGGGUGGGAAAAGCCAAAUAGAUGUGACCAUGAAGUCUCAUGAGUAGGAUGUAAGUGAUGUGCAAACACCAUAGCUGCUGUGACCAGCCUCUCUGGGAGAGUUAAGAGAGUGUUCCUGCCAUUCAAACUGCCAAAGCAAGAAGCUGCAAAUGAGAUUACGCUCUGACCAAAUCAUGCUGGAACAAGUACAACAGGAGAACCAGUGCCUGAAUCAGCAACUUGCCCAUCUGACGGCUGCAUUUAUGGCACUGCAGAAAAUGACAGCAUUCAUCCAGGCUCACUCCUCACGUGCCCACGCUCACUGUGAUAAUGUAAGCCUCGACCAGCUGAAUUUUCAUCAUGUGAAGUGUGGGCAGCUCAUGGCCAAACUGUCUCAGCCCAUGAUUCCAUGCAAGGCCAAAGAAGAAUGGUACCUGAUGACUGUCUGGCUGCUGGUGCUUGGUCACACAGAAAUGCAGUAUUCUGAUGGAAGACCGUAUACUUCUCAUUUGAGAAACAACUGCCAGGGAAAGAAAGUACCUCUGAUGCAGCUGCAGUUGUGUCAUGGCAGCAUUCUUCCCUGUCACUCUAGUGCUGGCAGCCCCCACACCACCUCAGAUCCUCCUUUGGAGCCAUCCUAGCCCAGAUCCCUCCACUUCCUCAGUGAGCAGAAUCUGGCCAUUCCCAGUCCAAGACAACUUCUUGCAGACAGGCUCCCGCUCUGCCAGGCCUCUGUUCUUGCAGGAACGUGGCAGAGGAAAAACCCUUCAGUUCCCAGCUCCAUGAGUGGAGAAGGCAGAAGAAGGCGUACUCAGUCAACAGCGCUGUUUGCAGACCCUAUUGCUUCCACUACCACACCUGAAGACCUAGGAUCCUGAGUCUGAAAUGAAGCCCUCUUCUGUAGAUGUGUAGCCCCUCAGGUUUGAGUUGUUAGAGUCAAGCCCUCAGAUGAUGGAAGCUCACAAGACUUUGGUCUCCUCUGGCCAGCAGGCAUGACUUGCUUUACCCUCAGAUUUUUUGCUGAUCCCAGUAUGUCAGCCCUGUUUGUCAGUGACCGUAAAAAGAAUCAAGAACAUUAAACAUUAGGCAAUGCUCAC